CUCUUCUGUCAUAAAGGCAUAUAUGCAAAUAGAGUAUUCAUAUAUAUAAGUAAAUUUACAAAAGGAGGAAGGCCCUAAUAGAAAUGUAGGUGUGGAGAGGAAACCCUUGCUAGGUGCUUUGUCUGCCUCUUUCCCCACAGAGCUACACCACCUCCUCCUUCCCUUGAAGCCAGGGCUGCCUUCACACAUGCAUGCUAAGACAAAGCAGAGGGAUGGGGAUAACGAGUCUGCAGCAUGCCCCAUCUCUAGAUUGCCAGACUGCCUAUCUCCUCUGCCUGCAGCAGUGGCUCCUAUGCAGGCACCUUGGCCUCAGACACCCCCCCCCCCACUGCCCAUUGCUCUAUCAUAGUCUGGCAUCCAGAGGAGAGUGGAGCAGAGGACCCCGAAAGGCUAUGGUGGAGGAUGAAGGGAAGAGACAGAGGGAACCCCCUGGGAACUGGAGCUAACUAGAGAAGGUGGAGUUGGAUGUGAGUUUAGGGAGGCUAGAGGAAGAGGCUAGAGUUGGCUCAGAGACCUGGAGUUAGAUUCCAGUUUAGAGUGCCUCUGGGUUUGGGUAAGUCUGCCUCCGCCCAAAAGAAGAGGAUUCAAAUCGUAACUACCAUGGGCUCUGAUUUGGAACCUAGUGUAGCAAAAUAAGAGGGAGGGUGGAGGUUGGUUUUGGAGGAAAGCCGAGCCUCUAGUUUCUCCAGCGGGGAGCUGCCUAGUCGGGGGCCCUUGACACUCAUAGUGCAGCCAGUGGCCAGCAUCACCUAGGAGCUUCUGAGAAACGCCACCGAGGCCCCACUCCAGAGCUGGUGAAUCAAAUCUACAUCUUCACAUGACCCCCAAGUGUCCGGAGUACACUUAGUUUGAGAGGCAUGUGUGAAAGCUUUUCUGGAAGGCCUGAGACAGGGGCAGGAAGCCAGGGGGCACCCACAGCACCAGGGCCCCUACCUAGCACCCCCUCCCAGUGCUGGAGCCACAGCGACACCUACUGGCUAUGAACAUCUAGGCCGCCUCCUCCAGGACGUUUGCUUUACGGUCCAUCCAGCCUUUCCUAGCCUGAACCCCCCACCCCUGAACUAAAGAUGGCCUUCCUGCGUUCUGGGAAUUUGGAGGAGGUACAGAGUGGUCAUGAGUUCAGUGUGAAACAGAGCUGUGUAUAGGCUGGGAACUGGGGCCUUGGAGUAAAGAAGGCAGGCAUACAAUGCUUAGGACACAUCCCCAGUCCUGGCCAAGGCUCAGCAGCACUGAGCACAUGUUCAUUGGCUAUUGUCACUCUGACCCAGGUCCAGAUGGCCAGGGUUCAGCGGUGCGCUCCACCCAUCAUCAACCGAUGCCCUAUGAGAAGCUGGGAUUUAGAUGAGCAUCUAAAUGCCUGUCUCCCAUAGGGGGACCUUUAGAGGAGUCACUGUUUAAAAACACAGCUUGGCCAAGUGUCAGAUAUUUACAAUCCAAGGUGGUGGUCAGUCGUUGCUCAUUUUCAUGACAGAAUUCUAAGUCAAAGGGGACACUGGGGCCAAAGGGCUAAAAAAAAAAUGUCAGGAAGGAAACCAACCCACAUUUGAGGCAAGUCUCAGCUGACCUAACCCCAAGGGACUUGGUUCACCAGGGCUGUCAGGAGAAGGUCUUAUAUCUGGACAGCAGAGACCACCCCUGUCAUUUCCAAACCCCUGCUCUUGCUGGAUCCCCUCCCACUAGCCUGCUCUGUGUAAAGAGGUUUGCCUGGGAACUAAAUGAAUGUGAUUGCCCACAGUGCUUGCCAUUAGUGGUGAUUAGUUAAAACAUCAGAGUCUAAACAGUCAAUUGGUUCUAAUAAUUAAUACUGUGGUUCAACGGUGAUUGAGAAAGGGAGGGGAAAAGAGACAAGAAGAGAAAAAAGAAAACUCAGACUGACAGAUAAGCCCCAGCCCCACAGCUACCGUUUCUUGACCUGUAUUGGUACUCUGUGCCAGGGCGUUUCUGCCCCGACUCUGCUCUCAUAAAUCACACCAUUCUCUUAGGCAAUAUCAUUAUUAUUAUUAUCUCCGAUCUGUAGCCAAGAAAAAUGUGGUGUGGGCAUAUAAAAGCUACUUGAUCCUUGGUAACAAUUUGUUAAGUGGAUAAAUAAAUAUGUAUAAAGUAGCCAGAACUGAAAGCCCAGGUUAGCCUGAUUCCAAACUCAUGGUACACCCUUCUCCCAGCCACACCCCUCACGUUCUUCACACACAAUAGUCUGUGUCCUUCCUGCAUCGACAUCCCUUGUCCACAGCUCCCACACACAGCUUCCUGUCCUUUCUCCUGCUCAUCGCCUGUCUCUCAUCCCAGUUCUUAGAUUGUCGCCGGCCCAUCAUAACACCACUAAAAGAGUGUUUGGGAAAUGAAGCAAAUAUUCCCGUCCAGCUCCUCCUCUGUCCUUCACCCCAGGAGCUGGGCCCCAAAGGCUGGGCUUGCUAACCUUUAACUGCUCCCACGCCCAGAUCUGGACUUUCCUGCCUGGUUCUGGGAAAGGAGUUGCCAUCAUGGAGCAGGCUCUGCUGCUCCCCACCCCCCUCCCAGGUCAGAAGUAGCAGCAGGAGCAGCAACUAGGAGGAUGGCUGUGUGUGCGUUGCUAUUAAUCACCCCUCCUGGUCCGCUAACGAGGCUAAUGCGGUAACUGACAAUAGCCCAUCUUGGUUCCUGAUUUAGGGGCUUGAGACGGAAGCUGGGCUCCUGGGAGUGAAGACGUGAAUUCUCCACGACACUAAACCUUCAAAUAAAUCUCCUCCAGUCAGAGAAGCCCAGGGCACUAAAUCCCACGCGCCGGUAAUUGAAACCCUUAGAGCUUUCUUGGUAGGGAAAUUGCUGAGCGAGAGCGCAGCCCAGGGGUUCCGGGUGGAGUGCUGGGCUAGCGCACAGGCCCGGAGAGGGUUCCGUGAUGGCGGAGGCUCCCAGGAGCCCAUGGGAUGUCUGUUCUGAUACGUGCAGCUACCUGGCCAUGUUUCCAGGCAUGAGCCUUACUAUCUGGCUAUGUUCACCAGUCACUGGUUUCCCAUCGGGUCUGUGAACUCUUGAUUUGGAGGCAAGUACAAUUACAGAGAGCCUCCUUUUUUUGAACCCCUUGGGACAUUUCACUAUUAUUGAAUAAAGGUUCUUGUAAGCAAAAGACAUUCUCAGUGUGAUGGGGGCAGCCUUCCUUCACCUGGUCCCACUUCUCUUUCUGAGGCCCCGCCCACAUGCCCUUCACAUCCUCCCUCGUUAACUUGGUCAUUGGAUUCUUCAACAUUUACUAAUACCUGCUGUAUACCAAACCCUAGACCAGGUCCUGAAUAUACCAGAUGAAUCAGACACCCUCCUUCCCUCACAGAGCUCAGGACAAGGAAGGGAAGCAGAUAAACACAUAGCUGCAGUACUACAUGUGUACAAAGAUGAGGUGAAGGAACGAGAAAGAAUGACUAAAGUCAGACGUAGUGGUGGUGCACGCCUUUAAUCUCAGCACUGGGGAGGCAGAGGUGGGCAGCCUGAUCUACAGAGUGAGUUCCAGGACAGCCAGGGCUACAUAGAGAGAUCCUGACUCAGAAGGAAAGAGAAUGAGUCUGGUGAAGUCUUCCAGGAGCAGAGACAUCAGAGGAUUUUUUUUUUUUUUUUUUUACAGGAUAAGAAUUACAGGUUGCCCAUGAAGAGAUGGGUGUCGAGGGCGGGUGUUGUUGGCAGUGAGAAUAAUGAGGAAGAGCUAACUCUUGUCCAACCACACCACACGGUGUUGCUGGAGAGGAUAUGAGGCUGCAGAGGGCCUUAGGAGAUAACAAGUAUGACAUGGGAGGGGUCCUAAGUGGUUGGAUGAUGGGAUCCAAGUUGUAUUUUAGGAGGCUCCUCCUCUCUGUAGAGAUAGCAAUGGAGUAGCGGAAUUUACCAGCAGAGAUAGACAAAGGUGGCGUCUGAACAACAUCCCAUGAUAAAGGAGAGAUGUUCUGCUGCAUCCUUACAGGAGAAGACAGCCAAGAAGGCAAUUUACUCCAUACAGGAGCCUGAAGAAAGAGUAAGUGUGGAGAGGGUGAAUUUAGGGAAGGCUGUGAAUGGUGGUUCAUCCCGGAACAGAGAAACCAGGGGGAAGGCAGAGCUAGAGAAAGAUGCACCCACCUCAGGCUUGCUGGGCCUUAAAGGACCCAUGGGAUGUCUAAGUGGAGAAGUUUCAGUGUAAUAUAUGGUUGAGUAGGAACUGAGGGAAUGACACCAGAGGAGGGGCUUGGCAUCCACAGGGAGAGAUAUGAAUGGGGACAAGGACACGAAAGAGUAUUGGGGCAGUAGAGUGGAUAGCACAGACUCCAAGCACUUCGUUGCCUGCACUGACGGUCUAACACAGCGCCUCACCAAGUAACCGUAGGCAAGCUACAGAACUUUGUAUGCCCCUGAUUACAGGACAGGAUAAGUUGCUCAAUGCUGGGUGCAGAGCACGUAUAUGGUAUUAUUGCUCCCCAACCUCCUUGCCCCUUCCUCCCCAACUCAGCUAGGACAUCUCAAGUGGGGCUGUCCCUCAGGGAAACCUACGUGGAUUGCCCUGAACAAUAGAAAUGUCCACGUUAUUGGCUCCGUAAAACUGUUUGCCUUUCUCUGGCACAAUUGCAAUAUAAGGAUUGUUGAGUGUUUGAUUGUAUCUGUUCCCUCAUUAGACUCCAUGCUCCAUUAGGACAGAGAUGUGGUACUGCCAGAUCUGAGUAUGGAAUCUAAUAUAUUCGAGACUCGCUGUGUGUUUACUGAAUUAACAGAUAAAUUACCUAGGGUAUCCAUUAGACUUGACAGACAGUGAUCAUUGAUGACGGAGAACAGUUUCCAUGGUGAUCAUUGAUGACGGAGAACAGUUUCCAUAGAGUGGUAGGGAUGAAAAUUGAUGUAGUGAGUUAAGAAUUGGUUAGGGGACUUGAGGAGACAGCUCAAUUCCUGAGGAUCCGACUUCAUCCUUAGAACCCACAUCAAGAAAGUGAAAUGUAAGCCGGGCGGUGGUGGUGCACACCUUUAGCCCCAGCACUUGGGAGACGGAGACAGGCGAAUCUCUGAGUUUGAGGCCAGCCUGGUCUGCAGAGAGAGUUCUGCGACAGCCAGGGCUACACAGAGAAACUCUGUCUCAAAAACAACAGCGAAGAGUGCGAUGUGGUAGUACAUGCUUGUACUCCCGACACCGAGAAGGCAGAGACAAGGGGAUCUCUAGGGUCUGGUGACCAGUCAACCUAACCUAGCCUGUCUCAAGAAACAAGGUGAACUAGGCCUGGUGGUGCACACCUUUUUCUUUUAUCAUAGCAUUCAAGAGGCAGGCAGCUCUGAGUUCAAGGUCAGCCUAGUCUGUUUGCGUUCCAGCCAGCCCAGGCUCCAUAGUGAGUAAAACUGUCCGUCUUUAUUUGGGGGGGGGUAGAUUUACUUAUUUUUCUCAAAGAUUUAUUUAUUAUUAUAAAUAAAUCCACUGUUGCUGUCUUCAGACACACCAGAAGAGAGCAUCAGAUCCCAUUGCAGAUGGUUGUGAGCCACCCACCAUGUGGUUGCUGGGAACUGAACUCAGGACCUCUGGAAGAGCAGCCAGUGCUCUUAACCGUUGAGCCAUCGCUCCAGCCUGAAACUCUGUCUUAAAACAAACAAAAGAACCCAAGGUAAUUGACCCCUGAGGAAUGACACUGGAGGUUGACCUCUGACCUCCACAUGCACAUGCUCACGUGCACGCAAGAGCGCGAAAGAGAGAGCACACACACACACACACACAAAGAGGUGACUAGGAAAUAGAGUAUAAACAGCAAGCAAGUCUUUGAAGUAUCUGCAGUGAGGCAAGGAGAUAAGGAGAGGACACUCACUCCAGGAAGGGACAGGUGGGUUGUUGAUGUGACUGUACUGUGGGAGACACUGGAGAUGUGUGAGCCAUGCUUCUCCAGGGAAGCAAAGGAUGCAGAAGAGAGGGGGCUGACACAACACUUAAGCUGGAGUGAGAUUCUGAACCCCAAGGGAAGCUGGAAUGGGAGGAGGAGGAGGAGGAAGAGGAGGAGGAAGAGGAGGAGGGUGGAGAGGGUUUAAAGGACCUCGGGCCCAAGAACGCCUUAUUCCAGAUUCUAGUGCAACGCGAAGCCCCAGGAAGGGGAAGCAGAAGGAGAUGAGCCUCAAAGUGGUAAAAAUAUUAUGGAAUUGUCUCUGGGGAAGGGGAGACAGCUGACCAAGGAUGUAAAAGGAUUGUUUAGUAGUGCUGAGAGUGGAAACGGAAUUUUUAUUGGCACAUAUCUGCGUGGUUUUGUGGUUUCCCCAGCUGCUCAUGGCCGUCCAUGUGUCUGAGACCAAAAGGAGGGCGGUCAGAUGAUGAAGAAGGCAGAGAGUACAGAAGUAGAGUAUGUUGGCCAGAGGGUACAGAGGUGAUGCGUUGUGGGGUCCAGGCAAGUGCCCACAGUGGUGGGAGUUAGAGACAUGUCCUAUAAGGAGGGUUGAGGAGUGGCGCUUAACCUCCAAGGGCUCACAGGGCAAAGCGGUGGACUGCAAGACCCUGGCCCUACCGACAGGCCCAAAGAACAUGGAGGUAGAAGACAGAAAAGCAGGUCUGCAAGAAAAUGGCGAUUCUAGGACUAGCUAGCGUUCCAGAACCCUAAGAAGAUAAAGCAAAGGGAGUCUCCAGAAUUGAGGGUGGAGAGGAUUUCAUUGGUGUGUCCUCAUGAGAAGGUGGUGGAGAACUCAGCCAGCGCCUCUCCCCCUUGGCCGGGAGCAUCACUCCUGGGACUGCCUGUGCCUCUAUCUUCAUGUUUUCCUCCUGCAUCAUCUCCUCUCCAUUUGAGCCCACCCCCACCACCGCGCGCGCGUGUGCUCACGUUCAUCUCUCCAUCUCUCCUCCUCACACCCUCCCUGGUGGUCCCCUCCCUGGACCCUUCCCCUGCCCUGCCCCACCCCAGCCGGCCUGAGUGAGCAGGAACCCCUGCACCUUCAUUUCUCAGGUCACCGCUUGGCUAAUGGGCUAUUAAUUUGCUCAAUCGUCCCCUGUGAGGCAAACUCAAUUUCUGCCAGCCAGUCGUCCCUCCCUGUCGACAGCGUGAUUGAUUGGAGGAACAGCUGUCACCGCCCGGCUGCCUGCUCCCUGCCUCUUUCCCUCCUGGUCCCACCACCCCUCCUCCUUGGGCCGCCGCCCUGCGCCCACAGAAGCAGUGCACCCCUGCCACCUGCCUAAGGAUCUGUCGCCAGCAAUGAAAAAUGACAGAAAUAUUUAAGGACAAAUAAGGUUUCCCAACGCAAUUGAAAAUGAUUACAGGCAGCUACAGAUGGGGCCAAUCUGAUGCGCAGCAGCAAAUCAAAUCGAAUUUCCUUAUCGGCGUAUUAUUUUAGGCGUUAUCUGGCACGUUGAUGCAGUUAUCAAUUCAAUUUCAGCCGCCGGGCUGCUGUUUACCGACUCGCCUUUGCUGGGAAAAGGUAAACAUGCUCGGCCCAGCAAAUUAAUUUCUAGCUGAAGCCAGAGGCGGCAAAGGACGGCUACCCAGGACCUAAGGCCUCCACCUUGGCCCUGGGCUCCGGCAGGUCAGGCUCGAGCUUGCCCAGGAACUGAAGCCCCACCAGCUGCCUGCCCCUGCCCUAAACUGUAUGCUGAGCUUCUCGGAGGCUGAGGUGACCGUUGUUGGCUCCUCUGCUGCUGCCAGGGAGAGGUGAAGGUCUCCCAUUAAUUCCCAGCUAAAAAUGACAAAUUCAUCUUGGACGACAAUUAAAUGAAGUCAGUAAUUGAUGCUAAUUGAUCUCCAGAUGCGAGGGCCCCCUUAGCCUCAGCCACGGGCGCGCGUGGCUGCCUUGCUCCCUCCCCCUCAGCCCCACCCCUGGCUUCUCUUCCUCUACCCUGUCGUCCCCUGAGCUGAGCCCUUACUUUCUCCCUAGGGAUCUACCUCUUUUGAUUGCACAGGUCUGUGAGAAGCAGCCAGCCUGGGCUGGGCCAACAGGCAAUGCCUGGGGCUAAGCAUCUGGCCCGCUGUGGGUCCAGACACACAAGCACUUGCCAUCAUCGCGGGCACUCCACCCAUCUGCCUAGGAUGCAGGUGGAUGAUUUCCUGAAUCCUGCCUCUUCCUGCAGUUUGUAGAGCCUAAUCCCAGGGACCACUGGGAGGCUCCACCUGCCCCAAGCACCAGUGUUCCAUCUGAACACAGGAACUAUCUGGAAGGAAAGUCACAUUCUGAAGAUGGUAACACAGAACAGGCAACAACACAUGUGCUGGAAAAGUAGCAACACUCUGGGAACACAGAGGAGAUGCCUGAUGUGGUCUGGGGAGUGAGGGAAGCCUGCCUGGGAGAAAGACUUCUAGGCUGAGACCUAAGGGACGAGUAAGAGACUCUGGCUUAUGGAAUUGGGACUUGCUACAUCUUCUUGGUUGUUUGGCAAGCCCGAAGCAGAGACAAAUAGGCUUAUUUGGUUCCAAGUGACACUGGGACAGCUGAAAAUGUCACUUCUGUCCUGUGAGUGCCAGCUGCUACCCUGGGGUCUGGGUAAGUGGGUGCACAGCUGUUUUCAGGGCACCCUUGGGCACCUGCAGAUAAGUAUGGGCCACAGCUAAAUACACAUCUCUCGCUGCCUGCCCUACCCCCACCUCCUCAACCAGGGAUGCCUAUUAAUCCUGACAAAUGAUGACUUACGAACAUGUAAUGCAAACUGAUUCAUCAUACAUUCAAAUCCGCCGCCCCGCCCCAGCGGGAGGCCCCAGCCAGACAAGUGUAUUACACGGAUAAUGUAUUUGACGUAUUAAUAAAACCAGCCGCAUUGCUCUGGCUCGGGGACUGGGGAAUGCCAAUAUACGAUGACAGAUCACAUAUUGAUGAAAUCCAGAUGUUUGGAAUCAUAGUCUUGGGGCCUUGUUCAUAUUGACUGAAGGUAAAAAAUGCCGUCUGUCUGCACAUUAACUCUUCCUGUCCCGUGCUCAGCAGAGUCACCGAUCAGAGGGCUUCCAGAAAGAUGAGAAGGAAGAAGGGGUAAGUGGGAGGAGCAGAGAGGACCAGUGAUUAGGUGGCUUGGGUCCAUGAUGGAUGGAUGAAGUGAAAGGGAGAUGGUGUGCUCAGGUAGGAUGAGUGGCUGGGACACUUCCUGGCUGAUGUCUUAACCUCUUAGCACAUUGUGGUGUGUGGACGGCAUCCCUUGCUCUGUGAAACUUCUUGGUUUUCGUUCUUCCUCUUUACCAUUCCUUUGCAGACCUUGAUGCCUUAAAUGUCUGUCACCUGUGAGAGUCAACUGAGGUUCUCUUCCAUACUCCUUUUAGUGGGUGCUCUCCUAGAUGAUCUCACUGUUCUUCAUCCUUUUAUGCGAUAGGUUCGCUCUUGGUUGUCUACCCUAGGCUGGACCAUGAUCUAGGCACAGAGCCCACCGUGAUGAAUUUCAGUUCUUCCCUGGGAUCAGGGUCUCCUAAACCUAUCACUGAGCAUCUCAUAGUUCCUCCAAGAAAAUACACUCCAAACUGAACUCACUGCUCUCCUGCGUAGCCUGAUCCAUAAACCAAUAAGCAGGUAUAUGAGUAUGGACGAGUAGGAGAAAUUCCAUAGGAGCUCGAAGGGCAAGGCCAGCUGCCUGCCAAAGGGUCAUUGAUCUCAGUCAGUCCCAGUGGGAAGACAGGUGAAGGCUGGGCACAGGUGACGUCUAUGAGUCUGACUUGUACAUCCUCAAUUCAUUGCAUCCUCAGACAUCCUAGACCUUAGAUACUGUUGCCAGUUCACACAAGGAGAAACUAAGCCCAAGUGAUCGGGUGAUUGGCCCAAAUACAGCACAGCUAGGAAGAGGCAGCUCUUAGAAUUUUACUUGUUACUCUGUUCUGUGUCUCAGUCACUAGGAAAUGGAAGCACUUCUUAGGAGGAUGGAGCGGGGAGAGGAAUGGCAGGACACAUGUGUGCCUGAUAGUCUUAAGAGCCCCAGUGUCAGGUGGGGGAUGUGGUCGGGUGAGUCUUGUCAAGCUUGCCCAAAGCCCUGGGUUUGAUUCCCUAAUACAACAUCUAUUGAGUUUCGUGCUGUUUGCCUGUAAUCCCAGCAUUCAGAGGUUCAAGGUCAUCCUCACUUUGCAAUAUGUUUAAAGCUAGCCUGGGCUACCAGAGAUCUUGUCUCCUUGUCAUCUGUCAUUAUAAUCACCCUCGCCCUCAUUUAAUGUUUCCUGUCCUAGGCCAGCAACCUACACUUCUUCUCUUUCUUCUCCUUCUCCUUCUCCUUCUGACAAGAUCUCACACUGCACCUUAGGCUGGCCUGGAACUCACUAUUUAGACCAUAUCAAUCCUCCUGCCUCCGAUUCAUAGUACAGGUCAGGCCAGCUCGACUAGAGUCAGAAAAAGCUCUUGUCUCCAGGGUAAUGUCUGCACCUUUGGGGAUUUGGCAAGGUUGGUAAAGAUGAGCAAAGGUGGGAAAUUCUGCUUGGACAAAUAAAGAGAGAGAAGGGAACCCUUUGGCUACAGAACUGGGAAAAAGCAAUUAGUCCAACCAGAGGGGCCACAAGGUUAAGGACUAGGAGCAGUUUUCACCAAUCCUCCCAAGAGCAGGCUGCCCCCAGUGGCAGGAAUUCCCAACAGAGGGGGGCAGCAGAGGGCUGGUCUAGCCUCCACCCGACCCCCCACCUCACACUUGGUGCGAGAUGGGAGGCUGGAGGAAUGGGCCGCAGAAGUGCUGCCCUGGUUUAACCUCUUAUCUCAACCUAAUCAACAAUCUUCUUAGAGGCUUCCGUUGAAGCCCCUCUGCUGUCUGGGAGUAAAGUUAGUCUAGCCGCUGAGCAAGGGACCGCUCUGGCGGUCACAGGUCACACAACUAGGAAGCCUCCUUAGUUGGACCGGACUGACUCAGGCCCCUUGGAGUUGCCCUGUGUGGAGUUCUGGGGCUCCUCCCUCUCUGCCCUCCUCCUGCUUGGAAGACACCUAUGGCAGGCAGAGAUGUGGAGGUGGCAGGCCUUACUGUGGCAGGGGUGGUGGGGAGGGAGUCGGUAAUGAAUGUGGACGGGAGGCGGAAUGAGCGAUCCAUCUUUGCAUGGGAGGAGAGGGGGCAGCGGGCGUUCCCCCCACACACUCACAUACUCAAUCAGGCGCUGUCAGACCUCCGGCCGCCUGGCAUUUUGGUGAAGAAUCUCUCAGCUAAAAAUUGUUGUCAGUCCCAUUUCCUCGUUAUCAGUGCAAGGGCUGAGGCAGCGCCCGGGGAUUAGCAGAAGCGGGGAGCGCUCACACCCGCCAUCCGCUGCCGAUAACACCGGGCCUCCCGCCUCACCUCCCACAUUCAUCAUCUUUAGCACUGACAGCUCAGCCCAGUCCCUGUCCCCACCCCUCUUGUUCACCGCGGCUCCCCACUGUGCUCGGCUUGGCUCUUGACCUCCCAGGAAGCCAGGCCUCCUAGAAGGCUAGGAUUCAAACAGAGCUGGAAACCUGGCCCCAACUUGUAGCAAAAAGCCUUGUCUGACUGUUGGCUCUUGGGAAGAUCUGUCAAGGUCUGGAGGAGGACUACUCAAGUAGCCAGUGUCCCUUGACAGGCUGUGUCUGUGUCAUGAGCGAAUCAUGAAGACCUGUCCUGGGAUGCCUCACUCGCCAGCCUGAAAUGGACUCCCUGAUUCUGGGAACCAUGGAAAGGAAGAACCAGAGGAUGACUCUAUCUGAGCCUAGGACAGGUUGGGGGUGGCUGGAGAUGAAGGCCUCACUCCCACCCCAGCAAGACCAUAGGCCCCUCCCCUUGGCCAUCCCCAGUGGUUUUAUAGCCCAUUUUAUGGCCACUGUAAUGGCCCAGGUCAAAAGCUUCAGGGAGCUGUAUUCUGGGAAUUAUGCAAACGAGGAGCAGGCCCAGGGCCAGAGUAUGGAUUUUGUCAUUAAACCUGGGCAGGCCAUGUCGUUAGUGCAGUAAAAUCCACGUCAUGACCACAGGUCUCAAUAUAAAAUUAUAGGGAACACAGCGGGGGAGGGGGAGGGGGGGCGCAUGACCGUGCUGACACCUGCCACUCUAACCCUUGAGAAAUAAAGGUGAGAUUGAGGGCAUAGGCUGCAAGUUGACCCCAGCUCUUUCCUGUAGGGCUCUUCCCUAAGCUGGGAGAGAGAGAGAGA